GAUGAACGCUGGCGGCGUGCCUAAUACAUGCAAGUCGAGCGAACAGACGAGGCGCUUGCUCCUCUGACGUUAGCGGCGCACGGGUGAGUAACACGUGGAUAACCUACCUAUAAGACUGGGAUAACUUCGGGAAACCGGAGCUAAUCCCGGAUAAUAUAUUGAACCGUAUGGGUCAAUAGUGAAAGUCGGUUUUUCUGUCUCUUAUAGAUGGAUCCGGGCCGCAUUAGCUAGUUGGUAAGGUAACGGCUUUCCAAGGCUAGGAUGCGUAGACGACGGGACAGAGGGGUAGGCGACACGAGAAGUGGAACGCGGACCAUAGUCCUGCGAGAGGGAGCAGUAGGGAACCGGCCGCAGUGGGCGAAAGUCUGACGGAGCGACGCCGCGUGAGUGAUGAAGGUGUUCGGAGCGUAAAACUCUGUUAUGAGGGAAGAACAAAUGUGUAAGUAGCUAUGCACGGCUUGACGGUAAUUGAUCAGAAAGCCACGGCUAACUACGUG
rnacentral:rRNA from 1 species